GGAGAUGUAAUUCAGUGGUAGAGUGCUUGCCUUCCAGGCUUACAAUCCUGGAUUCAAUCCCCAGUAUUGUCA
rnacentral:tRNA from 1 species